UUGAAAACUUUUGGACAGUUUGAAUAGCAAUGAAGUUAGUAGUAGAAGAUUAUGAUUCUAAGGACACCAGGAACAAUGGUGGUUCUGGACGUUGGCUUUAUUUGGCAGGAACUUCCCCUAAUUUCCUAGAUUUUAUAAAUGAUUAAAUAGCUUAUAGAAAGAUUGAUUAUAUGCAUUAAUGUGUACUUUCCCUUUACCUUCUAUGUUUAAUAGAAGGAAAAACAUUGAAGAAAAUAACUUUUUAUGAUUCAACGACAUCUAGGAUCCACCAGAUCGACCUCUUAGAAGUAAAACGGAGUACCUUAAAAUUUUCUUUUUGUUUUUUUCAGCCAGCACCGAUGCAAACAAUCCAUAAUCCAGUGGCAGCAGAACCUGUUCUCCACGGUGCUGAAUCUGCUGAUAGUAAAGACGAAGAUGGAUCAACUUCAGUUAAGUGUGAUCCAUGGAAUCCUGAACUUCCUCCUCCUGCUGCUGCCAUAUAUGAAGCAGAUGACUUGAAUGUCCAACUGAAAAUGAUUUUUGAGUAUGAAGCUCAAAAUGACAAGAUACUCUCUGAGUCCAGAUCUAGAAGCAUAAUUACCCCAAAGCGCACUCCUAAGGUUCCUAGCUCAUUUCGUUUAGUAUACUUUCAGUUAUGCUGCAUUUUUUCUGUAAAUAUCUUGUGACAGUACAAUUCAUUAGCUUAAUAUGUAUUCAGCAUGAUUUUAUUUGCUCUGACCUAUCAGCUCGAUAACUGACUGACUGUUACCGUUUCCGAAACAUGAAUGUAUAAAUCUAGUCUGUGCGUCUUGACUUCUGUGUGAUAUCACCCUGCUUGUCAACCAUCUUGAAGAAGGAUAGUGUCCGGAGCUUCCUCAAUCUCUUCGCCGGAAAUUGGCGACGCUUGGUAUGGGGCCGGGUCAUCACCCCGCACACCUUCAACUUCAUUGUGAGACACGAUGCCUUGCACUGUGCCAAGGUUGCCGUGGAAGGCAAGGCGCCAAAGCUCGGCGUGGGAACCGGGCCAACCCUAAUUACAUGAACAGCUUUGAGUCUUUCCCCCUUCACCAAGCAGCUAUGAUGUUUUCUCUUGACAUGAUCAACUUGCUUAUAGACUACGGGGCAUCAGCCAAUGUACACAUUGAGGGGAAUAAAGUCAUUGAGGGUCUUCUUCCACUUCAUGUUGCCGUUGAGGAUGCUUGCAUGCAUAAGUAUCUUGAGUUUCCCUAGAACUACAAGGAUCCGGAUUGGAGAGGGGUAAGAAUCGCAAGGCACAUAAGCUGUUGAAGGAGAAGAAGUACCUUUUCCGCAAUGUGUCUGUACUUGUUUUUAUAAUUCUGCGAGCUAGUGAAGCUCUUUGCUUUCCCUCAUCUCUUCCUUGUGCCAAAUAUUAUAGUAUACACUAAAAAUGGAAGUAAUUCAUGAAUCACGAGGCUCAGUUGUUGUAGGUGCCCCAUCACGAGGUACUAGAAUAUGUUUCAUCAGUUCUCAAGGAUUAUGGUUUCUCCCCUACUGGAAAAGGCAUUGAUGUUGGAUAUCUUUACUGGUUUGUCUAUCUAUCUGCAUUCUCUUUCAUUCAUUGCCAUUCCAUAUACACAUUUACACAAUGAUCUUAUACUUUUCCCCCAAUUGUUCUUGAAGCCACCCUUAUGAUUGCGGUGAGUCAGAGGAUACAAUACAAAGGAUGUGGUUUCUAUUUGUGCUUUCUCCAUUUUUUUUUUUUGCCAAAUCUAACAAAUAAUAACACAUGUUCUAUGACGGAGAACAGGGAACCUGGAUACAACCCAAACAGCUAUGGAAUCAUCUAACCUGAAGGCUGUGGGAAAGCAAGCACCCCAAAGACAAGAUUACAGGAUGUUCAUUCCCUACUGGAGAUCAAUGUUGCAAUCUCGUUUGCCCGUUAGGAUGAUUCUGGCUCAUGCAUUGAAGUCACAGCACAAGCCAGGCACUCGACGGUUUCAUACCGCUGCUGGUAGUUCAGGAAACAUGUCAAAGGAUGGGAGAUCUCUGUUUCUGAACUGCAGCCUUCGAUUGAUGGGAAGGGCUCCACAGCUGCGAAUUCAUCAGUCGAGGAGGAUGUAUACCACUGCUGCGCUUUUUUUUUAAGAAGAACUCAUCCUGCUUUUAUAGAAAGCCAUAAAGGUUUGUUACAGAGCGUUUGCUGGGGAUACCAGCUUACAAGAGAGAACUUCAGAAAAGCCUAGCAACAUACUAAGCUGAAUAAUCUGCAGACAUAUGCUAAAAGAUUACACCA